GAUUUUUCCUUUUUUUUUAUGGAUUUUUUUGCAUCUACAAUCAUGAAAAUUCAUUGUAACCCCUUCUUUUUCUGUUCAUAAUUAUUGGUUUCUGUUUUUUUGGCUUCUAAGUUGUUUAUAAUUUGGAUUGAAUAAUAAACAAUGUGUUAGUGAUCAAGCAUAAAUUAGCCACAUUUUUAUUAUUCUUUCUAUUGCUUAUUUACACAUUUUUUAGCUUAAUUUAUGGUUUUUAUCUUAUUUUUACAGAAAAGGAAGAAAUUGGAGAAUUGGAGAAAAAGUGCAGAAAGUUGACAGAAAAGUGAUUGGGUCAGUGAUUUGCCCAGUGAUUUGCCCAAAACAAGCUGAAGCAGAAACCUGGAGGCAACAGGCAGAAGUGAUAAGGUCAGUGAUUUGCCCAGGACACUCGAAGACACUGGCCAAAUCACUCGCAGAAGACAGAGAGAACUGACUCGCAGAAACGUGAUCGGGUCUGUGAUUUGCCCAAUCACUUGAAGAAACUGGUCAAAUCACCGGGCAAAUCACUUCGACAGCAGAAACUUACAGCAGAGCGGGAAAAUGGGCAGAAAACAGAAAUCCGAAUUUUCAGAAGUCCAAAUCCAAUCCAAUCACUUCCAACACAAAACCAAGAGCCACGAAAGAGUCUCUCAUCCAAGGAAUUCCAAUUGCAAUUAAAAUCAACAUCAAAAGAGGAGUCAAACACCAAAUCAAAGNNNNN
rnacentral:lncRNA from 1 species